UACGUAGGGGGCAAGCGUUGUCCGGAAUCAUUGGGCGUAAAGAGCGUGUAGGCGGCUCGAUAAGUCUGCUGUGAAAGUCCAGGGCUCAACCCUGGGAUGCCGGUGGAUACUGUCGAGCUCGAGUCCGGAAGAGGCGAGUGGAAUUCCUGGUGUAGCGGUGAAAUGCGCAGAUAUCAGGAGGAACACCAAUGGCGAAGGCAGCUCGCUGGGACGUGACUGACGCUGAGACGCGAAAGCGUGGGGAGCGAACAGG
rnacentral:rRNA from 1 species